GAGCGACAUCUGUUCUGGAUGGAGGUUGCACUCCUUUUGAGCUGUUGUUGGAAGGGGCACUUUAGGAAACAGCAAUGAAUGAGCCUUGGCUUACGCUGAGAAGAGCUGCUGAGCAUCUUUACUGAUUGUAUGGUGAACCACACUGCUUCCUAACUAUGGCAGUAUGAUUGCAGAGAGAAUUCAGUGCUGGUGGAAGUGACUGGAUUCACAGCUGUGGAAAUGGAGAUGGAGACACCCUGUCUCAUGCAGCAACUGUCUGAAGGACGGCUGCAGGACCAUGCGCUGCCCUUCAUCUGCUCCCAGUCAAGGCCAGGAAAC